UACGAAGGGGGCUAGCGUUGCUCGGAAUCACUGGGCGUAAAGGGUGCGUAGGCGGGUCUUUUAAGUCAGGGGUGAAAUCCUGGAGCUCAACUCCAGAACUGCCUUUGAUACUGAGGAUCUUGAGUAUGGGAGAGGUGAGUGGAACUGCGAGUGUAGAGGUGAAAUUCGUAGAUAUUCGGAAGAACACCAGUGGCGAAGGCGGCUCACUGGCCCGUUACCGACGCUCAGGCGCGACAGCGUGGGGAGCAAACAGG
rnacentral:rRNA from 1 species